ACAAACUGAGCACCCCCGUGGUCUAAAUGAACAUAACUCAUAUAGUUGUUUCAUGUGAGCCUGUACCUUGUUAACCUUUCCAUACUACAAAUUCCAACUAUACUGUGAGUACCAUCAGCACCAUCUGGUGUUUGUAAGCAUAUAUUCAGUAACUCCCUAUUGCUUUAAAUGGAUACAUACAGUUCUAUUGUUACUUGAAAUCAUCAUCCCACCUGAUGAUAAAACUUUCCUUUAUAUUGUGGGGGAUCUCAAAGAACAUUCCAUACUCACUAUAAGAAUAAACAAAGAGUCAGCAGAGUAUAAUAGAAAUAGAUAAAUUCACAGACACUAACCCACCUUUGAAAAAAGAUAAACUUGAGAGAAGAAUGUAAAGUGUGUUUCAUGUGAAUGUACAAUUAUAAACUCACCUGAAAAAGACUAAGUCGAAACCGGUCAUGUGUUCUACAUGCUCUUCAGUUUCAACUGAUUGAUUCAACAAGUGAAAGCUUAUGGAUAGAGCAAACAUUGUUCAGUUAUAUAUUCAUUUUGAUGUAUGGAACAUUAACAUUACAUUGUAAAUUAUGUACUGAUUGUACUUCAUUCAAUCUAAGUUUAUAUUUUAUAUUUGUUUAUUGAUCGUUUGCUAGUGCAUAUUGUUGUAUUUGUGGGUAUAUAUUAGUUUGGUAUGUAACCAGGAACCCAUUUACUUAAACCGCCAUUCCACAUAGUUCACUACAAAGCUUGGUCUGGAUCUACUAUUCACCAGAGCCAUUAAAAAGAUCCAAAUCAAUCAAACAAACAAGAAAAAAAAGGCCCAACAGUUUUGUGAACAUUACUUUGAAGGUUUGGCACUUUAUGGGAAGCCUAUAUUGACCUUUUACUCCUGCCACGUGUGUGACUGAUUGUUUCCAGAAAGAAAGGGAAAUAAAUAAAUUAAGCCACAGCAUUAAGCCCUGGAGACGUGAAGCACGUUCCAAACAGUGGACUUGCUUUCAUAAGUGAGCUCAAUGAUUUCCAGAGCAUUAUAUACUCACUUAAAAAAUAAAACCAAAAGUGUUUGGGCCACCUCUACAGAAAUAAAGAUGAAAGGAAUCUUAGAGUGCUUCCAAAUGGAGCCUAUUGGUAUCAAUUUAAAAAAGGUAAGAGGAGAAGGAGAGGUCAAUCACCUGGAAAAUGUCUCGAUAAAUGAGGAAAUGACAAAGUACUUAGUAUUCGAUGCAAUGGAUUUUAAGCACUGUGUGUUUAAUAAUUAUGUAAAAUACUCAUUGCUUAUAGUCAAACUUCAGUUUUCAUGCUUUUAACUUUGAUGGAUUUGAUUAUUUGUGAGUUUCCCGGUAAUUAAAUGUGAUUUUAAAAAAGAGUUUUGUGGCCUACCAGGGAAAAAAAUAAAGACACACAUAGACUAGAAAAUGCAGUGAAAAAUAAAUAGAUUAGUAACACAUACAUGGAUGAAAUAAAUAUAAUAUAUUUUUGUGUCAACAAUGUUAAAAAUUAAAGUUGGGGAAGGUGAUAGAGAUAUUCAGAACUUCCCAUUUUCACUGGGGUCCUGCAUCACUAACCCUCAUGGAUAUAGAGGGCCACAUGUACUUGGGGAAACAUCUAGGAAUGCCUAUACAACUACAUUAGCAUUGUCUCUGAGCCACUAUGCUUUACUAAAACCAAGUGUACAGAAAUUAAUCAAAUGCAUAUUCCUUGUUUGUUCCCUGUUUUCUUCCUCCUUCCCAAGCCCGUUCCCUGCUCUACAUCAAAUCUUUUCUUUUUUUUUAUCCCAUGAAGUGACAUGCACUUUGACUGAGUUAUAAACUGUAAUCAAAAUAAUGAAAUGCAUAAGAUUUUGGAUUAAAUAUGCUAGCAAAUG